GGGCCCUUGGGGUAGCUUGGUAUCCUUGUGGCUUCGGGAGCCAUUGACUCCGGUUCAAAUCCGGGGGGGCCCACCA
rnacentral:tRNA from 1 species